rnacentral:rRNA from 1 species
GUGCCAGCAGCCGCGGUAAUACGUAGGGUGCGAGCGUUAAUCGGAAUUACUGGGCGUAAAGCGUGCGCAGGCGGUUUUGUAAGACAGAUGUGAAAUCCCCGGGCUUAACCUGGGAACUGCGUUUGUGACUGCAAGGCUAGAGUACGGCAGAGGGGGGUGGAAUUCCACGUGUAGCAGUGAAAUGCGUAGAUAUGCGGAGGAACACCGAUGGCGAAGGCAAUCCCCUGGGCCUGCACUGACGCUCAUGCACGAAAGCGUGGGGAGCAAACAGGAUUAGAUACCCUGGUAGUCCACGCCCUAA